rnacentral:rRNA from 1 species
AGAGUUUGAUCCUGGCUCAGGAUGAACGCUGGCGGUCUGCUUAACACAUGCAAGUCGAACGGACGUUUUCGGACGUUAGUGGCGGACGGGUGAGUAACGCGUGAGAAUCUGCCUUCAGGUUGGGGACAACAGUUGGAAACGACUGCUAAUACCCAAUGUGCCGAGAGGUGAAAGCUUUAGUGCCUGAGGAUGAGCUCGCGUCUGAUUAGCUAGUUGGAGUGGUAAUGGCACACCAAGGCGACGAUCAGUAGCUGGUCUGAGAGGAUGAUCAGCCACACUGGGACUGAGACACGGCCCAGACUCCUACGGGAGGCAGCAGUGGGGAAUUUUCCGCAAUGGGCGCAAGCCUGACGGAGCAAGACCGCGUGAGGGAGGAAGGCUCUUGGGUUGUAAACCUCUUUUAUCAGGGAAGAAGAUCUGACGGUACCUGAUGAAUCAGCAUCGGCUAACUCCGUGCCAGCAGCCGCGGUAAUACGGAGGAUGCAAGCGUUAUCCGGAUUUAUUGGGCGUAAAGCGUCCGCAGGUGGUUUUUCAAGUCUGCUGUUAAAGCGCGAGGCUUAACCUCGUAACGGCGGUGGAAACUGAGAGACUAGAGUAUGGUAGGGGUAGCGGGAAUUCCCAGUGUAGCGGUGAAAUGCGUAGAUAUUGGGAAGAACACCAGCGGCGAAAGCGCGCUACUGGGCCAUAACUGACACUCAUGGACGAAAGCUAGGGGAGCGAAAGGGAUUAGAUACCCCUGUAGUCCUAGCUGUAAACGAUGGAUACUAGGUGUUGCCCGUAUCGACCCGGGCAGUGCCGUAGCUAACGCGUUAAG